AAGAGAUCUGUGAAUCCAGAACAGAUUUAAUAGUUUUGCUAUCUCUGCUUAGACCAGUAGAAGCAGAGUGCAGCAUCAUUUGAUAGUUAAAUUACACAACAAUCUCUACUGCAGAGCUUCAAGAAGAAAAGACAGUAGAAAUACCUUCCUGGUUAAAUAAGCUACGUCCUCUGAACAAGGUGGUUUAAAUAAGGGCAUGUUAGGUGUUCUUGACAGCAAUUACCAUACCAUUCAUUAGAGUCAUAAGAAAUUUAGCUGGGAGUGAAAGGAACCAGAAGAAUAG